AGCUAAUAAACUUUAAUAAGUCUAUGUUUUGAAAACAUAAAAUAGAAGUUAAAAUCUUCUAUUAGCUU
rnacentral:tRNA from 1 species